GAUGAACGCUAGCUACAGGCUUAACACAUGCAAGUCGAGGGGUAACGAGAGGAAAGCUUGCUUUCCUUGUCGACGACCGACGCACGGGUGAGUAACGCGUAUCCAACCUGCCCCCAACUAGGGAAUAACCUUGCGAAAGUAAGACUAAUACCCUAUAAUUUCCCUCAGAUGUCAUCUGACGAGGAAUAAAGAUUUAUCGGUUGUGGAUGGGGAUGCGUCUGAUUAGCUUGUUGGCGGGGUAACGGCCCACCAAGGCAACGAUCAGUAGGGGUUCUGAGAGGAAGGUCCCCACAUUGGAACUGAGACACGGUCCAAACUCCGACGGGAGGCAGCAGUGAGGAAUAUUGGUCAAUGGGCGGAAGCCUGAACCAGCCAAGUAGCGUGCAGGAUGACGGCCCUAUGGGUUGUAAACUGCUUUUAUACAGGAAUAAAGUUAGCCACGUGUGGUUAUUUGUAGGUACUGUAUGAAUAAGGACCGGCUAAUUCCGUGCCAGCCGCCGCAGUAA
rnacentral:rRNA from 1 species